rnacentral:rRNA from 1 species
AUUUUGGACAAUGGGGGCAACCCUGAUCCAGCAAUGCCGCGUGUGUGAAGAAGGCNUUNNGGUUGNANAGCACUUUUGUCCGGNNNNNAAUCCCAACCACUACUACUGGAUGGGGAUGACGGUACUGGAAGAAUAAGCACCGGCUAACUACGUGCCCGCAGCCGCGGUAAUACGUAGGGUGCAAGCGUUAAUCGGAAUUACUGGGCGUAAAGCGUGCGCAGGCGGUUGGGCAAGACGGGUGUGAAAUCCCCGGGCUUAACCUGGGAAUUGCAUCCGUGACUGCACGGCUAGAGUGUGUCAGAGGGGGGUAGAAUUCCACGUGUAGCAGUGAAAUGCGUAGAUAUGUGGAGGAAUACCGAUGGCGAAGGCAGCCCCCUGGGAUAACACUGACGCUCAUGCACGAAAGCGUGGGGAGCAAACA